rnacentral:rRNA from 1 species
AAUUUUAAGGUCAAGCUACAAAGGGCGCAUGGUGAAUGCCUUGGCACUAGGAGCCGAAGAAGGACGCGAUAAGCUGCGAUAAGCCUUGGGUAGCCGCAAAUAGGCUGAGAUCCAGGGAUUUCCGAAUGAGGAAACUCACAUGGGUAACCCCAUGUAUCAUGCACUGAAUACAUAGGUGUAUGAGGGUAAACCCGGGGAACUGAAACAUCUAAGUACCCGGAGGAAGAGAAAGAAAAAUCGAUUUCCUAAGUAGCGGCGAGCGAACGGGAAAGAGCCCAAACCAGAAACUUGUUUCUGGGGUUGUGGAUAGAUCAUGAAAGAAGAGAUAUCUUAAUCGAAGAGGGCUGGAACGCCCUACCAUAGAAGGUAAUAGUCCUGUAGGUAAAAAGAGAAAACUUUAAGAUCUAAUCCAGAGUACCACGAGACACGUGAAACCUUGUGGGAAGCAGGGAGGACCACCUCCCAAGGCUAAAUACUACCUAGUGACCGAUAGUGAAGCAGUACCGUGAGGGAAAGGUGAAAAGA